GAAAAUAGCCAGCCUGGCUGGCAUAUAAAUUCUAUCCCACCUUGUGUGCAAACAAUGGAAAAGAAAGAGAGGAUAUUGGAUACUUUUGUAUCCAAUCUCUCUAAAAUUUUUUACAAACUACAUCAAAUUUUGAAAUAAAACUAUUUUUUUUAACAAAAAAUAUUAUA
rnacentral:misc_RNA from 1 species